rnacentral:rRNA from 1 species
UACGAAGGGGGCUAGCGUUGCUCGGAAUCACUGGGCGUAAAGCGCACGUAGGCGGCUUACUAAGUCAGGGGUGAAAUCCUGGAGCUCAACUCCAGAACUGCCUUUGAUACUGAAGAUCUUGAGUCCGGGAGAGGUGAGUGGAACUGCGAGUGUAGAGGUGAAAUUCGUAGAUAUUCGCAAGAACACCAGUGGCGAAGGCGGCUCACUGGCCCGGUACUGACGCUGAGGCGCGAAAGCGUGGGGAGCAAACAGG